CCCCCCAUCAGUUAAACAUCGUAGGCAUAAAAUCCAUGUCCUAGAGUGUAGGGCCUCAAAAUAGGCGUCAAAUUGAUAUGUUCUGAUAGUAAUGCAACUUUUUAUUAAUAUCAUUAAUCUAUCACAAGUAAUUCCUAUCAAAUUAUCUUUAAAAGCAGAAAACUUAGUAACUGUUGAUGCAGAAGCCACACAAAAUCAAUCCCUAUGUCUCACUUUCCAUGACUUUCCUCACAGAUGAGACAUAUUCCUUAUCAUUAAGUACAUUUGUACCACCACAUUAAAUGUGCAGUUAAGUUGGAAAGGAAUUCAUUUCUUUUACAUUAAAUUGCCCAAAUUACAUGUAUAUAAAUAAUUAUAGCAUUUAAUGAGGAAAAACCUUUCUGUGUAAUGGGUGGUUGGGGUCUU
rnacentral:lncRNA from 1 species